GAUGAACGCUGGCGGUAUGCUUAACACAUGCAAGUCGAACGGUACCUUCGGGUAUAGUGGCGGACGGGUGAGUAGCGCGUGAGAAUCUAUCUUCAGGUCGGGGACAACAGUUAGAAAUGACUGCUAAUACCGGAUGUGCCGAAAGGUAAAAGAUUUAUUGCCUGAAAAAGAGCUCGCGUCAGAUUAGCUAGUAGGUGGUGUAAGAGACUACCUAGGCUUCGAUCUGUAGCUGGUCUGAGAGGACGAUCAGCCACACUGGAACUGAGACACGGUCCAGACUCCUACGGGAGGCAGCAGUGGGGAAUUUUCCGCAAUGGGCGAAAGCCUGACGGAGCAAUACCGCGUGAGGGACGAAGGCUCUUGGGUCGUAAACCUCUUUUCUCAAGGAAGAUUCAGACGGUACUUGAGGAAUAAGCAUCGGCUAACUCUGUG
rnacentral:rRNA from 1 species